rnacentral:rRNA from 1 species
UACGUAGGGGGCAAGCGUUAUCCGGAUUUACUGGGUGUAAAGGGAGCGUAGGUGGCAGGGCAAGUCAGAUGUGAAAACCCGGGGCUCAACCUGUGGCCUGCAUUUGAAACUGUUUUUCUUGAGUGCUGGAGAGGCAAUCGGAAUUCCGUGUGUAGCGGUGAAAUGCGUAGAUAUACGGAGGAACACCAGUGGCGAAGGCGGAUUGCUGGACAGUAACUGACGCUGAGGCGCGAAAGCGUGGGGAGCAAACAGG